UACAGAGGGUGCGAGCGUUAAUCGGAAUUACUGGACGUAAAGCGCGCGUAGGCGGCUUGUUAAGUCAAAUGUGAAAUCCCCGAGCUUAACUUGGGCAUUGCAUUCGAUACUGGCAAGCUAGAGUAUGGGAGAGGAAGGUAGAAUUCCAGGUGUAGCGGUGAAAUGCGUAGAGAUCUGGAGGAAUACCGAUGGCGAAGGCAGCCUUCUGGCCUAAUACUGACGCUGAGGUGCGAAAGCAUGGGGAGCAAACAGG
rnacentral:rRNA from 1 species